CAUUGUGAUUAGUGGCUGAGGUCAGAAGUUAUCCAGCCUGUGGUAGAUUGAAUUUCUCACAAUUCUUCACUCUCCUGUAGAGACUAUGCCAUGUAAGGUACUAGCCUCUGAGUACCGGAAAAAUGAAGAACAAACCCAGUCUUCAAGAAGCUCUAUCUAGAGAUGCUGUUUCAAAAUCGAUUAGUUCUCCGACCCCCCCACUGAAAUCAUCCAACCUAUUGAAGAAGCAGAAUGGGAUGUGGAUUAUAGGGUUUCAGAUAACACCAAGUCCCUAGUGAAAGAUGUUUUUGAUAUUCCUGCUCUCUACAACUGACCCCACCAAGUAAGAAGUACUGAGGAAAUGUGACAUGAAUGUGGGCAAAAUGUACUAUACCAACAGUUGCUUCUCAAUUAAGAAGAUAAUAGAUCACCAACAUGAACUUGCAUGCUUCUGGAAGAACUGGGGUGACCAGGAAGCUGGGAAGAGAAUCCUUCAGGUCAGGCUGGGCACCCGGGAGGAGGCGGAAGUUUGCCAGGCCUACCCUGUCCCACCAGCA